rnacentral:rRNA from 1 species
UACGUAGGGUGCAAGCGUUUGUCCGGAAUUAUUGGGCGUAAAGAGCUCGUAGGCGGUUCGUCGCGUCGGCUGUGAAAACCUGAGGCUCAACCUCAGGCCUGCAGUCGAUACGGGCGGACUUGAGUACUGCAGGGGAGACUGGAAUUCCUGGUGUAGCGGUGAAAUGCGCAGAUAUCAGGAGGAACACCGGUGGCGAAGGCGGGUCUCUGGGCGAGUAACUGACGC